UACGUAGGGUGCAAGCGUUGUCCGGAAUUAUUGGGCGUAAAGAGCUCGUAGGCGGUCUGUCGCGUCGGCUGUGAAAACCCGGAGCUCAACUCCGGGCCUGCAGUCGAUACGGGCAGACUGGAGUUCGGCAGGGGAGACUGGAAUUCCUGGUGUAGCGGUGGAAUGCGCAGAGUAUCAGGAGGAACACCAAUAGCGAAGGCAGCUCGCUGGGAC
rnacentral:rRNA from 1 species